rnacentral:rRNA from 1 species
UACGGAGGAUUCAAGCGUUAUCCGGAUUUAUUGGGUUUAAAGGGUGCGUAGGCGGUCGGAUAAGUCAGAAGUGAAAGCCCGGGGCUCAACUCCGGGACUGCUUUUGAAACUGUGUGACUGGAGUGCAGGAGAGGUAAGCGGAAUUCCUGGUGUAGCGGUGAAAUGCGUAGAUAUCAGGAGGAACACCAGUGGCGAAGGCGGCUUACUGGACUGUAAUUGACGUUGAGGCUCGAAAGCGUGGGGAGCAAACAGG